rnacentral:lncRNA from 1 species
CUCUAUUUACAGUUUUAUAAAAUUUGGUCAACAGAAUCUCCCUGCAAAAUGAAACAAAAUGUCGUUUUAAAAAAUGGGGGUCCAUGCACUUGUUUUCAAAUUAAAUCAGUUUGAAUAAUAAAAAUCAGUCGAAAAAUGCAUCAUUUCCCGAUAUGUCACAGUUUGACGUUGCGAAAAUAACAUUUUACGUUAACAACGUCAUUACCUCCCCUGUAACUGUAUCGUAUGCCCUUAAGAUUAAACAAACAUUGUCACAAAACUUAAAAGGGGCAUAUAACUUGUGCAUUUAGUAAUAAUUUAAUUUUGGAUGUAACACGUCUUCUGAUUGG